rfam:Comamonas aquatica DA1877 out_46, whole genome shotgun sequence.
CGCUUUUUUUGCGCAGGCGGAGCUGGACCGUCGCAUCAAGAGCUAAUUGACUUUGUAGACCAGUAUCGCGAUGCCUAUGGGGUCGAGCCAAUUUGUAGGCUGCUGCAAAUUGCCCCA